rnacentral:rRNA from 1 species
CCUACGGGAGGCAGCAGUGGAGGAUAUUGCACAAUGGGGGAAACCCUGAUGCAGCGACGCCGCGUGUGGGAAGACGGUCCUCUGGAUUGUAAACCACUGUCACCAGGGACGAAGAUGACGGUACCUGGGGAGGAAGCUCCGGCUAACUACGUGCCAGCAGCCGCGGUAAUACAGAGGGCGCGAGCGUUGUGCGGAAUUAAGGGGUGUAAGGGAGCGCAGGCGGGACUGAAAGUUGGGGGUCAAAUCUACAGGCUCAACCGGUAGCCGCACUCAAAACUGCAGUACUUGAGUGAAGUAGAGGCAGGCGGAAUUCCUGGUGUAGCGGUGAAAUGCGUAGAUAUUAGGAGGAACACCAGUGGCGAAGGCGGCCUGCUGGGCUUUUACUGACGCUGAGGCUCGAAGGUGUGGGGAGCAAACGGGAUUAGAUACCCCUGUAGUC